rnacentral:rRNA from 1 species
AUCUGGGCGACGGAAUUCAGGAUGGCUGUGCGUGUUUCGCGCGCGUACGGCCGUUUGAUAUUUCCGUCGUUGUCGAGCAGACGCAGACGUCGCGACCUGUUCGUCGUCGGUCCCUGUUCUGAAGGAGCCGCGGUCGAGUUCGUUGUGGACGCGUUCACGCGUGUCACACGGCGAAGCCGCGUGCCUCUGGCCGAUCGACGGACAGUAUGUUGCAAAGACGGUGUCCGUUGCCGUCUAGCGCGGUCAACGGUACCGGUCGGCGACGAAUUUUUCGGGCCUCUUUCCGACCCGUCUUGAAACACGGACCAAGGAGUCUAACGUGCGCGCGAGUCGCGGGGUUACAUAACGAAACCCGUGCGCGCUUUGCGCGCUAAAAGGCGUAAUGAAAGUGAAUGGGGAAGAUGGCGUUCCGAGUACACGUUCCGCGAUCGUUGGUAUCGCGGCCGGACGUCCGCAUUCCCAGGGCGUCUCAACGGCCCGUCGUGGAUGUCGGGCUGUCGUCUCUCGGGACGGCUAGUCGGUCCGCGUCGAACCGA